AUUGAACGCUGGCGGCAGGCCUAACACAUGCAAGUCGAACGAGGGGCGGACGGGUGAGUAAUGUCUGGGAAACUGCCUGAUGGAGGGGGAUAACUACUUGAAACGGUAGCUAAUACCGCAUACCAUCGGAUGUGCCCAGAUGGGAUUAGCUAGUAGGUGGGGUAACGGCUCACCUAGGCGAGGAUCACUAGCUGGUCUGAGAGGAUGACCAGCCACACUGGGACUGAGACACGGCCCAGACUCCUACGGGAGGCAGCAGUGGGGAAUAUUGCACAAUGGGCGCAAGCCUGAUGCAGCCAUGCCGCGUGUAUGAAGAAGGCCUUCGGGUUGUAAAGUACUUUCAGCGGGGAGGCGUUACCCGCAGAAGAAGCACCGGCUAACUCCGUGCCAGCAGCCGCGGUAAUUC
rnacentral:rRNA from 1 species